UUUGCUUUGACAAGAACGCUUCGUGCUUGCCCUGUAUUCAAGUCGUCUCAUACUUUACAGUGGAGGGGUUCUUGGGAGCAUGCACUAACGUGUGUAUAUGGAGGACCUGGCGGAGCUCCCGCAGAGACGGGUGUGGAUUGAGGUGUGGAAGAGUUCCUUACUCUUUUUCAAAACCUAGUUUACUACCUGGCUGCCUUCACAGGCGGCUGACUUUUAAAGGUUCCAUUACAUGGAAGUCGCAUUCAUGUUUCUACAGUAGCCCUAAAGGGACAAACUGUUCUACAGAGUAUGUUUCGUCCCUACAUUGUCUCAGACGAUGACAUGUUCGUCCUGUGGCAGUCAUCAUAUGCAUUUUGAA